rnacentral:rRNA from 1 species
AUGUCGUCGUCCUACCUAUGCUCGGCCUGCGGCUCCCGCACCCACCGCCGGAACCACUGCGCCGCCUCGCCGUGCUCACGCUGCGGGGGCAACGGUCACUUCGAGGCCCUCUGCACCACCCCCGCCGGCUUCGACCCCGCCGGCGCAGCUCGCUGCGGCGUCUGCAGCGGCGCCGGCCACGCGGACGAGGACUGCGCCACCACAAAGACCGCCGACAUCCGGUGCGAGACCUGCGGCAAGCUGGGGCACAGGCCCAGGGACUGCCCCACGCGCACCGGCCCAGGGACGUUGCGCGUUGCGCGUUCUGUUUAG